UACAAAAAUACAAAAUAACAAAGUGAAACAACCUAAACGGUCCCGUGUGGUAACAAACACUGACACGGAAAAUAAUCACCCACAACUCAAAAGUGAAACCAGGCUACCUAAAUAUGGUUCUCAAUCAGGGACAACGAUAAACAGCUGUCUCUGAUUGAGAACCAUACCAGGCCAAACAAAGAAAUCCCAAAACAUAGAAAAAGGAACAUAGACAACCCACCCAACUCACGCCCUGACCAUACUAAAACAAAGACACAAUAAAAGAACAAAGGUCAGAACGUGAUACUGCUACUAUGGGACCAGGUCUCUCUUGGAAAAUAGAUGUUAUCUCAGUGAGAGAAACCUGUAUAAAUAAAGGUAAAAUUAAAAAAUCAAUGUGAGUCGUGUAGUGAUGACCUCAUCACCAGUAUGCUGUAUUUUUUUCAAUUCCAAAAUUGGUCUGGAAAUAUUUUGUCUGAAAACAUCUGAUAAACUUACAUUUUGUAAUGUCCUUUUAAGCAGUAUAUUGAAAGGAUUAUAAUAUUAUUAUUUAGUGUUUUUAUAAUUUCUGUUCAUUUUAAUUUACUGUACCAUCUAAAAUGCUUUUGUAUGUCAAUCUACCCCUUUCAGGCUUUCUUGAUUGCCUUCACAUCAGGUUUCUUACCGCGACUGCUUUACCAGUAAAAGUUUGACAACAAUCUGAACGGAUAUGUUAAUUUCACUCUGGCCUAUGCUCCUCCCAGCUACACCAGACAUCCCAUGUGCAGGUAAUAGUGGUCAUAAAUACACACUGAAACACACUAUAGUAGAUAUAGUAUAGCUGUUGUAUAUACUUUAAGGCAUAGUUCAUUGAAAUGUUUAGAUAUGUGAUUCCGUAGCUUGACAGCGGUCUAUGGAAAAGGAGUAACUGCAAUUCACACUUUAGUUUUGUUAGACUAGCCACUGCCAACAAAUGCUAAUAUUAGGAUAUUUAUACCAAACUCCCUUGUUUAGCAUGUUUCACAUUUAAUCUCAAGUCUUUCCAGUAGAGGGCAGAAUUGGUGAUGUUGACAAUCCUGACCUGUUGUUGACAACCAUGAAUGUGUUGCCUGUAGAUAUAAACCCUUUAGGGACAACAAUGGAAAUUACACUCUGGUUUACUGGGAACUCCUGGCUGUAAGGUUAGGCUUCAUCAUCGCUUUCGAGCGUGUAGUGUUUUUCUUCCUGCAAGCGAUAGACUGGAUGGUGCCAGAUGUCUCUGAGUCUCUGGAGCUGAAGAUGAAGAGAGAGCGCUACUUGGUUAAGCAGGCCCUGGCUGACAAUCAGGAUGCCCUGUUGGUGAGUCAGCUUGCCCCGGCCUCCAGCCCAGGUCAGUGGAACAUGGCAAUGCUCACACACCCUCACCACACACCCACUGCUUUCCUGCAAAGAAUCAUUGUGGUGGUCAGGUUGUUAUUGCAAAACAAAAUGUGUUGUCAUUUGUCAUGACUUACCCUGUUUAAAUAACGUUGUGCCUAAGAACAGCCCUAGCCAUGGUAUAUUGGCCAUAUACCACACCAUAUACCACACACCAUCGUGACUUAUUGCGUAUGUAUAACACCCUUUUCCUCCUUCGGUUUAGUUGUAUCCCUGUUAUAUUAGUGGUUACUUAUUAGCUAGGGCUCCUGUUCAUUUGAAACUACACACACAUAAAGUGAGUCAUUAAGGAUUUAAAUUGGCACCCGAUUCCCUAUUUAGUGCACUACCUUUGGAAAGGGUGCCCAUAGGGAUCCGGUCAAAGUAGUGCACUAUAUAUGGAAUAGGGUGCCAUUUGGGUCACAGUAGUAUCCCAUUGGAUCCAGUGUACAUUUCUUGGAGUAUUAAGGGCGGUGAAACCAGAGAGAGACAUGAAUUGAUUGAUCCUAAAGCUGCUGUAUAAGUAGUGCAAGCAGUGGUGUUAAUAAGUUACGUAUUACAUUAUUACAGAAACCGAUUUGAUCUUCAUAAAUGAAUUCCAGACUUUAUAUCCUAUUAUAGACUUUAUAGCCCCCUCACACACACACACACACACACACACACACACACACACACACACACACACACACACACACACACACACACACACACACACACACACACACACACACACACACACACACACACACACACACACACACACACACACACACACACACAAACCCCUGAGCCUUAACUAUAACAUUGCACUGCUCAAGUCAGCAGCAGCUAGCCUGUUUGCUCUGUGAUUCAGACUCAAUAAAAACAUAUGCACAAUGUUUAAAGACUGGGCUCACUACAAAGGUCAUAAUAUGGCGAUAGAAAUGCUAAAGUGUUCAAAGCCAGACCCAUAUAACCUUAACCUAAGUUAUUGCAUCCAUAAGUCUUUUCCCAUGGCAUGUGUAGCCUCUUUCUCUCACUUCGCAUCCCAUCAGCACAAGACUGGUGCUUGCUGGCCCAUUGUUUUUCGUUGUGGUCCUUUAAAUGGUGUGAUGGUGGGUGUGCGUCCCCGUGUUCUGACCAUGCCAUUGUGGGAGUUCUGUUUCUUGUCGUGAACGUCCUGGAUGGG